GUCGGGCUGUGCCCUGUGUCUGGCUGUGCCCUGUGUCUGGCUGUGCCCUGUGUCUGGCUGUGCUCUGUGUCGGGCUGUGCUCUGUGUCGGGCUGUGCCCUGUGUCUGGCUGUGCUCUGUUCUGGCUGUGCUCUGUGUCGGGCUGUGCCCUGUGUCUGGCUGUGCUCUGUGUCGGGCUUCUGGCUGUGCUCUGUGUCUGGCUGUGCCCUGUGUCUGGCUGUGCUCUGUGCUCUGCGUCUGGCUGUGCUCUGCGUCUGGCUGUGCUCUGCGUCUGGCUGUGCUCUGAGUCCGGCUGUGCUCUGCGUCUGGCUGUGCUCUGAGUCCGGCUGUGCUCUGAGUCUGGCUCCGGCUGUGUUAAUUACAAACAAGUACGAAAAUGUUUUACCUACUGCA
ensembl:lncRNA